AUUGAACGCUGGCGGCAGGCCUAACACAUGCAAGUCGAGCGAGCGGCGCACGGGUGAGUAAUGUCUGGGAAACUGCCCGAUGGCGGGGGAUAACUACUGGAAACGGUAGCUAAUACCGCAUACCAUCAGAUGUGCCCAGAUGGGAUUAGCUAGUAGGUGGGGUAACGGCUCACCUAGGCGACGAUCCCUAGCUGGUCUGAGAGGAUGACCAGCCACACUGGUACGGGGAUACGGUCCAGACUCCUACGGGAGGCAGCAGUGGGGAAUAUUGGACAAGGGGCGCAAGCCUGAUGCGGCCAUGCCGCGUGUGUGAAGAAGGCCUUCGGGUUGUAAAGCACGUUCAGCGGGGAGGCGUUACCCGCAGAAGAAGCACCGGCUAACUCCGUGCCAGCAGCCGCGGUAAUAC
rnacentral:rRNA from 1 species